rnacentral:ncRNA from 1 species
GAUAAGUUUUAUUCUUUCUUUUUUAUUAAUUUUAUAUAUAAUUUAUAUGUAUUUUUUUUUUAUUUUUUUUUUCAGUAAUUAUUUUUAUAUAAAAUUUUAAUUAAUUUUUUAGUAAUUUAUUUAUUAAUUGAAAAAUUUUGUGCCAGCAUUCGCGGUUAUACAUUAAAUUAUAUUUAAUAUUUUAGGUUUUUUAUAUUUUUAUAUGAUAAUUAUUUUUUUUAUUUAGGUUAAAUUUAUAUUUUUAUAUUAAUUUUCUUUUUUUUUUAUAAUAAUUUAUUUGUUUAGACUAGGAUUAGAUACCCUAUUAUAUUUAAUUAUUUUUAUCUUAUUAUUAAAAGUUAAUUUCUUUAAAAUUUUAAGAAUUUGGCGGUUAUUAUUUACUUUUUAGAGGAAUAUGUAUUUUGAUUGAUAAUCCACGAUAUUUUCUACUUAAUUUUUAUUUGUAUAUCUCUAUUUAAUUAUUGAAUUUUUAUUAAUAAUAACUUUCUUUUUUUUAUUUGAUUUAAUUUUAGGUCAAGGUGCAGUUUUUUUUAAGUAAAUAUGUAUUAUUUAAAUUUUAAAUUUUUUAUUUUUAUUUCUUUGAUGAUUUAUUUUUUUAGGAUUUAAUAGUAAUUUUAAUUAAUUAAUUAAUUUGAAUUAAGUUCUUAAUAAUGUACAUAUCGCCCGUCACUCCUAUUUUAGGAUAAGUCGUAACAAAGUAGAAUUAUCGGAAGUUGAUUCUAGAUUUU